rnacentral:rRNA from 1 species
ACAGGUGCUGCAUGGCUGUCGUCAGCUCGUGUCGUGAGAUGUUCGGGUUAAGUCCCGCAACGAGCGCAACCCUUAUCAUUACGUUGCUACGCAAGGGCACUCUAAUGAGACUGCCGGUGACAAACCGGAGGAAGGUGGGGAUGACGUCAAGUCCUCAUGGCCCUUAUGACCUGGGCUACACACGUGCUACAAUGGUUGGUACAACGAGUUGCGAGUCGGUGACGGCGAGCUAAUCUCUUAAAGCCAAUCUCAGUUCGGAUUAUAGGCUGCAACUCGCCUACAUGAAGUCGGAAUCGCUAGUAAUCGCGGAUCAGCACGCCGCGGUGAAUACGUUCCCGGGCCUU